GCAAGUAAAAGUCGUAACAAGGUUUCCGUAGGUGAACCUGCGGAAGGAUCAUUAUUGGAUUUUGAAACUUCAGGCUGCUGCUGGCUCUCCUCGGAGGGCAUGUGCACGCUUGUUGUCCAUUAUUUCUCCCACUGUGCACAAAUUGUAGACCUUUCAGUAGGCCCAUGUUGUUUUUCACAAUCUCUGAAUGUAAUAGAAUGGCUUUGAAUCUUGGGAAAUACAAUACAACUUUCAGCAACGGAUCUCUUGGCUCUC
rnacentral:misc_RNA from 1 species